rnacentral:rRNA from 1 species
GACGGAGGAUGCAAGCGUUAUCCGGAAUGAUUGGGCGUAAAGCGUCCGCAGGUGGCAGUUCAAGUCUGCUGUCAAAGACCGGGGCUUAACCUCGGAAAGGCAGUGGAAACUGAACAGCUAGAGUAUGGUAGGGGCAAAGGGAAUUCCUGGUGUAGCGGUGAAAUGCGUAGAGAUCAGGAAGAACAUCGGUGGCGAAGGCGCUUUGCUGGACCAUAACUGACACUCAGGGACGAAAGCUAGGGGAGCGAAUGGG